rnacentral:rRNA from 1 species
UUCGUAGGCGGUCAGAAUAGUCAGGGGUGAAAUCUAUCGGCUCAACCGAUAAAUUGCCUUUGAAACUGUCUGACUUGAGUACGUGAGAGGAAAGCGGAAUUCUUGGUGUAGCGGUGAAAUGCGUGGAUAUCAAGAGGAACACCCGUGGCGAAAGCGGCUUUCUGGCACGAUACUGACGCUGAGGAACGAAAGCCAGGGGAGCAAACG